rnacentral:rRNA from 1 species
UAAGGAAUAUUGGUCAAUGGACGCAAGUCUGAACCAGCCAUGCCGCGUGAAGGAUGAAGGUCCUCUGGAUUGUAAACUUCUUUUAUCUGGGACGAAAACGGGAUUUUUAUCUCAAUUGACGGUACCAGAGGAAUAAGCACCGGCUAACUCCGUGCCAGCAGCCGCGGUAAUACGGAGGGUGCGAGCGUUAUCCGGAUUUACUGGGUUUAAAGGGUGCGUAGGUGGGCUUAUAAGUCAGUGGUGAAAUCUCCGAGCUUAACUUGGAAACUGCCGUUGAUACUAUAGGUCUUGAAUUAUCUUGAGUUAAGCGGAAUAUGUCAUGUAGCGGUGAAAUGCUUAGAUAUGACAUAGAACACCAAUUGCGAAGGCAGCUUACUACAUAUAAAUUGACGCUGAGGCACGAAAGCGUGGGGAUCAAACA